GAGUGUGUGGGUCCCACCCCACACACUUUCCCCAAUCCAGCCCGAGCUUGAAGAAGAGCUGCUGCCUCCCCACUCUCUCUCACCCCUCAAGCUCCCCCCUCAAAUCCUCUCCAAAAGGCAUGGCUUCAUCCGGUUCCAGGACGAGGCCACCGUGCGCGGACCAAGAGGACAUGCCGAAGACGUGGUUGGAGGCCAGUUUGGACAAGAAGAAGGAGAAGGAUGUGCCCACACCACCAUGUUGGUGUGGUGAUGUUUGCAAGCUGAAGGUGUCCACUGACCGCAACAAGUCAUGGACAGAAGGUAGAAGGUUUUUCGUGUGUCCCAACUAUGCACAUGAUCGUCGAAGGCCAACUAACGCAUAUGACAUACCACCGUCCCCUCCUCCACUUUGCAAGUACUUCACUUGGAUAGAUCACGAGGUACCAAAAGAUAUCCAAGAGGACCAACGUGCAGAUUGGUUACGGAGG